UGCGAAAUUAUAUGGGUGAUAUUUAAAGUUCAUCCUUUUUCUAAUCUUUCUUUUUCAUUACUGUUUUUAAAAUAUUUAUUUUUUUCCUGCUAAUGGUCUUGGGUCAAUCAUAAAAGUGGGCUCUGGGAUCAACUGGAAAAGGUCAGAAAGUUAUGAAUUAGACGUAAAUAAUUAUUUCCCCCAGCCUUGUAAAUGGUUUGUAUAUGCUGACAUAAUGCUGGAGAGGUAGAACGGCUCUUAGACUGCCACCGUGCGAUGGUAGUUUAAGACAAGUUUGGUCAAACAGACUUCUCGAGAGGAGGAGGAAUUAAAGUGGCGUUAGCAAGAUUUAAGCCGACCGUCUGUAGGGUGGUAGAUAUUUCUCUCAUCUUUUCAGUUGUCCUGCAUCGACGCAUGCAACUAUUGUUGCCCUCCUUUCAACCGUCGCAUAACUGGAGAAGCAUUUUGUUCGAGACGAGAAGGGUGCUCUUCGUUCGUAUUCUGUUUGCAUCAAGACGGACUUGCGCACUUCAUGGAUAGGGUGACGGCGGGCCUACCAUCUCUGGCGUGAGAGAUCUAUAUAUGCGGCGGAUACGUGUGGUGAAUUCGGUGCGACAUGGAAGGCCAAAUUUGGGUUGGCAAGUUUGUCAGGUAUGAAUUUUAUAAGUUCGAAAUAUAUUUGGCCUAAUAAAUUUGGUCAGACAAUUAAGACUAGGCUAGGCUUCUGCGUCAGCAGCACAGUCAGCAGGAUUCAUUGGCGAACAUAGCGACGGCUGCUCUGCUAGGGUCAAGGAAGCAGUCUUAAGUCAUUAUACUACAUAGACGGAGCAAACAAGCAGGUUAAUUUGGUCCCUCCUGCGGAAAUCACCUUUUGUAUUUAAGUGUCAACAUCUGAUUUUAGCUUCAGACAAGUUGCACAGGGGCAAAUCACUUUUUAAUUUGUUGCUGCGGACAUAUAAAACAACCGAAAAAACGGCUCCAGUGUCAGAACAUGAGAUUUUCAGCUUGAAUUCUAACUAGCUAGCUAGUCUCCUUUUUUUUUUUUUUUAUUUUACUUCAAUUUCAUGUUCUUUGGCCUAUUAUAACAUUCGGAUUCAGAUGUAAAGGAAGUAUUGAGUAAUAAAUAUCAAGUAUACCAUUUUAGA